GUGUGCGCGCUUCAGGGCCAAUUUCAGCAGGACGCUCUAUUUCCUGCUUACUUUUAAAUCCUCCUUCAAUAUGCAUAUUUCAGUGCGAUUUUUCGUAUUUUCUUCGCGAGAAAAUGUAGCCCAUUUCUUUCCUUUUCAUAGGCUACACCUCGACCUGACGUUUUGGGCUAUGCCAAUUGUGCUUACUGUAGGUCCCUCAGGGGGUAAGCUGACGACGGCGGUAUAUAGGCGGAAUGGGGCAAGAAAAGGUGAGGUUUAACGGGGGUUAUCGGUUUCAAGAACAGGCUCCUCUAGAUGGGUCUAAAGCACCGCCAAGUCCUUUGGGUUUCAAGCUAAUGCUCGUAGUCCCCUGGCGGAUAGUGGGUGU
rnacentral:rRNA from 1 species